AUUGAACGCUGGCGGCAGGCUUAACACAUGCAAGUCGAGCGGAGAUGAGGUGCUUGCACCUUAUCUUAGCGGCGGACGGGUGAGUAAUGCUUAGGAAUCUGCCUAUUAGUGGGGGACCACAUUCCGAAAGGAAUGCUAAUACCGCAUACGCCCUACGGGGGAAAGCAGGGGAUCUUCGGACCUUGCGCUAAUAGAUGAGCCUAAGUCGGAUUAGCUAGUUGGUGGGGUAAAGGCCUACCAAAGCGACGAUCUGUAGCGGGUCUGAGAGGAUGAUCCGCCACACUGGGACUGAGACACGGCCCAGACUCCUACGGGAGGCAGCAGUGGGGAAUAUUGGACAAUGGGCGGAAGCCUGAUCCAGCCAUGCCGCGUGUGUGAAGAAGGCCUUUUGGUUGUAAAGCACUUUAAGCGAGGAGGAGGCUACCUGGAUUAAUACUCUAGGAUAGUGGACGUUACUCGCAGAAUAAGCACCGGCUAACUCUGUGCCAGCCGCCGCAGUAAGAC
rnacentral:rRNA from 1 species